rnacentral:tRNA from 1 species
AAGGCUGAGUGGUAAAGCAACUGGCUUCUGAAGCAAAGAGUCCCAGGUUCGAAUCCUGGU